UGGGGAAUUUUGGUCAAUGGGCGAAAGCCUGAUCCAGCAAUGCCGCGUGUGUGAAGAAGGCCUUCGGGUUGUAAAGCACUUUUGUCCGGAAAGAAAUGGCUCUGGUUAAUACCUGGGGUCGAUGACGGUACCGGAAGAAUAAGGACCGGCUAACUACGUGCCAGCAGCCGCGGUAAUACGUAGGGUCCAAGCGUUAAUCGGAAUUACUGGGCGUAAAGCGUGCGCAGGCGGUUGUGCAAGACCGAUGUGAAAUCCCCGAGCUUAACUUGGGAAUUGCAUUGGUGACUGCACGGCUAGAGUGUGUCAGAGGGGGGUAGAAUUCCACGUGUAGCAGUGAAAUGCGUAGAGAUGUGGAGGAAUACCGAUGGCGAAGGCAGCCCCCUGGGAUAACACUGACGCUCAUGCACGAAAGCGUGGGGAGAAAACAGG
rnacentral:rRNA from 1 species